UCUGUACAUCUGGCAAUCUUGGUGCAAUACUGGAUGGUUUUAACUAAGAACUGAUCCAGCAUGAAGACCAGCCAUGUGCCUCACCUGUCAUGACAUUAUUAAAGUACUUUGUGACAGUGGGAUGAUGGAAUAUUAAAGAAUGGACAUGGCUCUAUAUUACUGCAUCAGAGAUCAAUCCAGGUUUACUUAUAAAUCAAAGAAAAACACUUAAACAGUCAAGCAUCAUUUGAAGCUACAUGUGUCACCGCUUUAACAAUAUGCCUGCUUAUAUAACCAAGAAAGCACAGUGACCAGUUGUACCUAUGAUGUCAGACAAGAUCCCGAAAAAACUUCCAGUACACUCAUCACUACCUGCAAAGAAUUGAAAAUUCUAAAUGACUUGUAUGAACACUUUUGUACUUCAUCUGGCUUGUAUUUUCAGUACUCAUUAGCUUUUAGCUUCCUGCAAACAAAAUUUCAUAAGUACUAACUUGCAGGUGUAAAAUAUAUUUGAAACAGUUUGCUUGUCCCAAAGGAAAUUCUGCCAAUUAGCAGUGGCAUGAGCAGUUGAUUGAUGUCACAGUUCCACCGGCAAAGUAUUUGUAGCUUAAUGGUGCCAUGUAAAACACUUUUCACAAGAACAUGGAAAACAUCCUAGAAGUGAGGAUCUACAAGAAAUUAAGAGAAUACUUUCUUAAAUAUUUUCAAUGUUAUAAAAUGCUUGUGUACAUCCUUUAUAUAUAAAACUAAUUACGCAUGUAACUACCAAAUAUACAAAUUAAACUUCAAUCCUUAAA